rnacentral:rRNA from 1 species
AACGAACGCUGGCGGCAGGCCUAACACAUGCAAGUCGAACGCCCUAGCAAUAGGGAGUGGCAGACGGGUGAGUAACACGUGGGAACCUUCCCUAUAGUAUGGAAUAGCCCAGGGAAACUUGGAGUAAUACCGUAUACGCCCGAGAGGGGAAAGAUUUAUCGCUAUAGGAUGGGCCCGCGUAGGAUUAGCUAGUUGGUGAGGUAAUGGCUCACCAAGGCGACGAUCCUUAGCUGGUCUGAGAGGACGACCAGCCACACUGGGACUGAGACACGGCCCAGACUCCUACGGGAGGCAGCAGUGGGGAAUAUUGGACAAUGGGCGCAAGCCUGAUCCAGCCAUGCCGCGUGAGUGAUGAAGGCCUUAGGGUUGUAAAGCUCUUUUGCCGGGGACGAUAAUGACGGUACCCGGAGAAUAAGUCCCGGCUAACUUCGUGCCAGCAGCCGCGGUAAGAGUGUGUGUA